CAGGAAAUGAAAUGGCUGCAAGCACGCCACGAACGUGGCAUGUAAGUCAUGCCAUACCUGACACCGUGUCGUAUUUUGAACAUAUGCCAUACAAUAUCAAUUUUGCUAUCUAUCCAGAUUAUGAAACGGCUGCAAGCACGCCGUGAGUGUGGCAGGAACUGAAACGUCUGCAAGCACGCAUUGAGCGUGGCAUGCA